ensembl:lncRNA
GUCAGUCUGAUGGUUUGCCAUAGUAGUCCCUAGCCUAUGGGUCAGUCUUUUGGUUUACUGUAGUAGUCCCUAGCCAGUGGGUGAGUCUGAUGGUUUACAGUAGUAGUCCCUAGCCAGUGGGUCAGUCUCUUGGUUGACUGUAGUAGUCCCUAGCCAGUGGGUUAGUAUGAUGGUUUACAGUAGUAGUCCCUAGCCAGUGGGUCAUCUGAUGGUCUACAGUAGUAGUCCCUAGCCAGAGGGUCAGUCUCUUGGUUUACAGUAGUAGUCCCUAGCCAGUGGGUCAGUCACUUGGUUUACAGUAGAAGUUCCUAGCCAGUGGGUCAGUCUGAUGGUUUACCGUAGUAGUCCCUAGCCAGUGGGUCAGUCUGAUGGUUUACUGUACUAGUCCCUAGCCAGUGGGUCAGUCUGAUGUUUACCUGUAGUAGAUCCUAGCCAGUGCGUCAGUCUGACGGGUUACCGUAGUAGUCCCUAGACAUUGGGUCAGUCUUUUGGUUUACUGUAGUAGUCCCUAGCCAGUGGGUCAGUCUCUUGGUUUACUGUAGUAUCCCUAGCCAGUGGGUCAGUCUGAUGUUUACCUGUAG